rnacentral:lncRNA from 1 species
AUGCUGCAGCAAACACGCUUGAGAGAGUGGUUGGUGGAGGGGAAGACGGAGACGGGAUUUUUUUUUUUCUUAAUUAGAUCUACUUAUUGACCGCUGGGGUCAGGUGUCAGUCAUUUCGAGCAUCUUUCAAAAAGUGCGAUGGCAUUGCUUGUAGGUGGUUGUACUGGUCAUACAUUGAGCUGAAAACAUGAAUUUACCAUCUCUUUUCUUUUUUUUUUCCCGGAAGAGAUGUGGACAGCCUGAAGGAGCGGACAGCAACAGGCACAAACGACGCUUUGACAACCCUGAGAAGAGAAAAUUUGCACAUUGCGCAAACAGGUGGAGAAUCUUUGUCGCGAUGAACAUCARCUUCCAGCUUUUGCCCUGACACGGCUUCUCUCCAGUUCGUAUUUGCUCCAUGAAAAAUAGGCAGCACUACAAACUUUAUUCGUGGUGUGCAGGGAGGUACCCGUUCAUCAGAUGUUCUUUGUGGACUUCCUAAGCGGGAUGGCAAGUUUGCAGCACACCUGUAACGGAUGAUGUAGUUGUUAUAAUUUUGAAGGCAAAUGAACGGGCAUGCACAACUGUCUCAAGGUCAUACAUGGAGUCAAUAAAACCCAGAAGUCCUGGUCCA